rnacentral:ncRNA from 1 species
GCGCAAUCCGGGGGAGCCGCAAGGGCGCGGCUGAGAGGUUCCGAGAACGCGACGGAACGACCCCUUGAACCUGAUCCGGACAGACGGCCAUGCCGUCCAUGCCGGCGUAGGGAAGGAAAGGUUCCGAUGG